rnacentral:rRNA from 1 species
UAGAGUUUGAUCCUGGCUCAGGAUGAACGCUAGCUACAGGCUUAACACAUGCAAGUCGAGGGGAAACGGCAUUGAGUGCUUGCACUCUUUGGACGUCGACCGGCGCACGGGUGAGUAACGCGUAUCCAACCUUCCCAUUACUGUGGGAUAACCUGCCGAAAGGCAGACUAAUACCGCAUAGUCUUCGAUGACGGCAUCAGAUUUGAAGUAAAGAUUUAUCGGUAAUGGAUGGGGAUGCGUCUGAUUAGCUUGUUGGCGGGGUAACGGCCCACCAAGGCGACGAUCAGUAGGGGUUCUGAGAGGAAGGUCCCCCACAUUGGAACUGAGACACGGUCCAAACUCCUACGGGAGGCAGCAGUGAGGAAUAUUGGUCAAUGGACGGAAGUCUGAACCAGCCAAGUAGCGUGCAGGAUGACGGCCCUAUGGGUUGUAAACUGCUUUUGUAUGGGGAUAAAGUUAGGGACGUGUCCCUAUUUGCAGGUACCAUACGAAUAAGGACCGGCUAAUUCCGUGCCAGCAGCCGCGGUAAUACGGAAGGUCCAGGCGUUAUCCGGAUUUAUUGGGUUUAAAGGGAGCGUAGGCUGGAGAUUAAGUGUGUUGUGAAAUGUAGACGCUCAACGUCUGAAUUGCAGCGCAUACUGGUUUCCUUGAGUACGCACAACGUUGGCGGAAUUCGUCGUGUAGCGGUGAAAUGCUUAGAUAUGACGAAGAACUCCGAUUGCGAAGGCAGCUGACGGGAGCGCAACUGACGCUUAAGCUCGAAGGUGCGGGUAUCAAACAGGAUUAGAUACCCUGGUAGUCCGCACAGUAAACG